rnacentral:lncRNA from 1 species
UGGAAUUUAUUUAAUAAAAUUAAAAUGAGAGAUAAUAAUAAAAGAUGGAAUUUGUUUAUUGAAAAAAAAAUGAAAUUGAAAUGAGGAUAAUAAUAAAGGAUGGAAUUUGUUUAAUGGAAAUUAAAAAAUGAAAUUGAAAUGAGAGAUAAUAAUAAAAUAUUAAAGAGAGAAGAAUAGAAAAAAAAAUGGGGGAAAAAAUGGGGAAAGGGUUGGAGUAAGUUGUCUCCAAAAUAAAAAUUUCUCCAUUACGAGAGCAAAAUAUUGGAACAAGGUUGGAGAUGGCCUAAGCUCGCCCUUACUAUAUUGUGCAGAACCUAAAUUGCUAUUCAUUUUCACCUAAGUUUUCAUUAGAAGCAAAACCACUAGGGUAAAUUUUCUUACUCUUACUCCGUUUACCAUCCUCGACUAAUUUUUUUCACCGUGCCACCCUCAUUAUUACUACUUCCAGCUUUUUCCACUUCCAUUCUCUUUGACUUCUCUUUUAGGCGUUUUUGCCGCACGUGAAGUUGGCAUAGUUUAACCCCGUGGAAGCCAUAAUUAUUGGAAUAUUAUCCUUAGAGAAAAAUAUUGCUAAGUGUUUG